CCUACGGGUGGCUGCAGUGAGGAAUAUUGGUCAAUGGACGAGAGUCUGAACCAGCCAAGUAGCGUGAAGGAUGACUGCCCUAUGGGUUGUAAACUUCUUUUAUAUGGGAAUAAAAUGUUCCACGUGUGGGAUUUUGUAUGUACCAUAUGAAUAAGGAUCGGUUAACUCCGUGCCAGCAGCAGCGGUAAUACGGAGGAUCCGAGCGUUAUCCGGAUUUAUUGGGUUUAAAGGGAGCGUAGGUGGAUUGUUAAGUCAGUUGUGAAAGUUUGCGGCUCAACCGUAAAAUUGCAGUUGAAACUGGCAGUCUUGAGUACAGUAGAGGUGGGCGGAAUGCGUGGUGUAGCGGUGAAAUGCUUAGAUAUCACGAAGAACUCCGAUUGCGAAGGCAGUUCACUGGACUGCAACUGACACUGAGGCUCGAAAGUGUGGGUAUCAAACAGGAUUAGAUACCCUGGUAGUC
rnacentral:rRNA from 1 species